UACGGGGGGGGCAAGCGUUGUUCGGAAUUACUGGGCGUAAAGGGCUCGUAGGCGGCCAACUAAGUCAGACGUGAAAUCCCUCGGCUUAACCGGGGAACUGCAUCUGAUACUGGAUGGCUUGAGUUCGGGAGAGGGAUGUGGAAUUCCAGGUGUAGCGGUGAAAUGCGUAGAUAUCUGGAGGAACACCGGUGGCGAAGGCGGCAUCCUGGACCAACACUGACGCUGAGUGAGCGAAAGCCAGGGGAGCAAACGGG
rnacentral:rRNA from 1 species